rnacentral:rRNA from 1 species
UACGUAGGUGGCGAGCGUUGUCCGGAUUUACUGGGCGUAAAGGGAGCGUAGGCGGACUUUUAAGUGAGAUGUGAAAUACUCGGGCUCAACUUGGGUGCUGCAUUUCAAACUGGAAGUCUAGAGUGCAGGAGAGGAGAAUGGAAUUCCUAGUGUAGCGGUGAAAUGCGUAGAGAUUAGGAAGAACACCAGUGGCGAAGGCGAUUCUCUGGACUGUAACUGACGCUGAGGCUCGAAAGCGUGGGGAGCAAACAGGAUUAGAUA